AGACUAUCUGGUAGAUAGGCCGAAGGUGUAAGGGCAGCAAUGCCUUGAGCCGAUCGGUACUAAUCGGUCGAGGGCUUGACCUU
rnacentral:rRNA from 1 species